UCCGGCUUAUCACCGGCAGUUUCUUUAGAGUGCUCAACUAAAUGGUAGCAACUAAAGACGAGGGUUGCGCUCGUUGCGGGACUUAACCCAACAUCUCACGACACGAGCUGACGACAGCCAUGCAGCACCUGUGUUCCGAUUCCCUUUCGGGCGCACCCGGAUCUCUCCGGGCUCUCGGACAUGUCAAGGGUAGGUAAGGUUUUUCGCGUUGCAUCGAAUUAAUCCACAUAAUCCACCGCUUGUGCGGGUCCCCGUCAAUUCCUUUGAGUUUUAACCUUGCGGCCGUACUCCCCAGGCGGGAAGCUUAAUGCGUUAGCUGCGCCACCGACAAGUAAACUUGCCAGCGGCUAGCUUCCAUCGUUUACGGCGUGGACUA
rnacentral:misc_RNA from 1 species